UAGUGGAUGCUGCUGUGCCCUGCCCGGGUCCCCUUCACUGGUGGCACACUCUUCCCUCAGUUGCUGUGAGUAUUCAUUGCUCAAAUGGAGCUGCCUUGCCUGGGAGGUUACUCCUGGCCACAGGGGACAGUCAGUGGCCAAUGAUUGACUGGGGCACAAAAAGCCGGAAGCCUGGCCUCAAGGUGGACCAGAGCCUUCUGGGAUACAAGGGAGAAGUUAGUCUCCAGCUGAGACCGCCCCUUUGCUUAGUUUUCUUGUCCUGUCUGCUGCUUCCCUCACACUGCACCCCCUCCAGAGAGCCCUCCUCCAAUGAAUCCUUUUCACCAGAAUCACCGUCUCAGGCCCUGCUUCUCGGAAGCCUGACCUAAGACACUGAGAAAGCUUUCUUUAAGAGGUUUGUCUGUGUAUUUACACAGCGAGGACAAGUUUUCUCUCUGACCCCUGCGCCUCUAACAGUGAUGGAGAGUCACAUGAAUGGACUCAGAUGUGAAUAGUCCCCCUGGAACUGGCCACACAGCAGCCCCCCGUCUGAGGCUCCUGAAGAGCUUCUCUAGGAGGUGGAAGGGGAAGAAGAAAAAGAGACACUGCACACAAGCAGUUCACCGGGAGGCUGUGCUGUCAUUUCUGAAGCAGAGCUCUUUGUCUGACCUGCUAAAAAGGGCUACUUUUUUAGAAGCUUUAGUAAAAUCAUUUAAUCUAAAAUUCAAUAUAAAUGCCACUCAGUGUUAAUUUUUAAGAACCAACUAGUCAGUCCCGUAUCUGUUCUUUCCCUGAAGUGAAGCAAAUUUGGUUAAGGAUGGGUGUUUUUGAGUUUAUUUCCCACACAGUUGAAAGCUCAAUGCCAUGAUUAAGUCUCUUCUCCCAAAUGUAACCCCUUGGGAGCCACAGCAAUAGCACAAACUAAUGAAACAGGAGGAAUUCAUGUUUGAAGAGCCAGAGCCUCUGGAGACAUGGACUAAUGGCCUGAGCCCCACAGGGUGGUUUGGAAUUGAGUUCCUAUGCAAAUGUUUUUAAACACCACUUACACUUCAAUACUUAAAAUUUAGAUUAUAUGAAGGUGACUCUUGAGAUUUAACAAUUGUGACAUUUUCUUGAGGCAUGAACUCAACUCACACAUCCUACAAAGUUGGCAGAUGGUGAGUGAACGAGGUGACCACUGAGCAUCUACUUGGCACAUGUGCAGUAACUCACAUGAAGGGAUUUACAUCUUUCCAACUGUGAAUGUUGCUAACAGAAGGGCAGAGGUGGGGCAAAGAAAUGGCAGGUGUUUGAGGGUCUGUAGGACCAAAGCUCUCACAGCUGUCGCGUGAUCACUAUAGUCCCUCCAUGUCAGCCACCACGAUGGCUGCUUUAGAAUCUGAUUUUCCAGAUGCACAAUUAAGGAUACAGAGGCACUGGUGUGCUGUCUUAGGAAGAAGAUGGAGCUUGGGUGUCUGUUAAAUUGGAAUUUGAAGGUGGUCAGGGUGGCCUUCCCCUCUCUGAUUUUCCCAGCUUCUCGCACCCGCAGUUGAAGAAGCCGUGUCCUGAUAGUCUCAGGCAGACUAGUUCCGCCGAUUCCUUAUUCCCAGUGCAGGUUUGCUUUUCUCUCUGCAUCUUUCUUUUCUGUUUAUGACACCACCAUCUUAGUUGCUGAAGUUUCCAACCUUGACCGUUGGACCCUGUACCUUUUUCCUUCUUACGUCUUCUCCUGUCAUCAACCUCAGGGCCACCUCCACCCCUUAUCUUCUGGCUGUCAUUCCUUGGGCUCCUCAUGGGAUGUGACCAUCGCUUCCAUCCACUUGAGUCCUUCAUGGGCCUGGCCUCGCCUUGGACCUUUGGGUGACUCUGAGUCUCUCCUCCUCCAAGAGCAUCAUUAUGGGGACCCAUUGGGAAAAUCCUCUACUUUGGCUCUGCUCCCAGGGUCUCUUCCUACAGCAGAGCGUGCUGUCUUUUCCCUAUCACAGGAAGCAUGUGAGAUUAACUGUUUUGACUCUUUUCUCUUGUUUUAAAGAAAGCAACACCAAGAUGUGUGUUUCCUCCCAGAAAGGCUAGAGAUAGGCAAUAAGGAAGGGGAAAAUGUGUUUGCAAAUCUGUAGCUUAAAGCUUCAGGUAUUUAAAAAUCAUUCUUGUUUGUCUUUUAUAUUCCUACAAAGUGCAUAGAGAGUCUUAUCCAUCAGUAUUCCAGACAAGAUCAAAGAAGCCUGUGUUCAGAUAGGACCAUUAAAGAGGAGGGGCCCCUCUCUCCCUGCUGCCCCUGAACAAAGGCUCCCGUGAAAGCUAGGACAGUCGCUCUGACACCUGCCCCAUCACCAGAUCAACCUCAGGAGCUCUGGGCCCAGGGGUGUCCUGACUGGAGCCAGAACACAGGAAUAGGGGAGGUUCUAAGACCUGAAUAGUACUUGGCAUUGGAUUUGAUAGACACUGCAGGGACUGAAAAACCCAUUAGCCAGUUUUCUUCUUUUACUAUCUCAUAGUUUGUAUUUCAUUUCCAUCAAAUGGCAUGAAAGCAUGUUAUUGGCCAGCGAGAGGAUGAAACCCUGAUGUGGACCUACCCUAAACCUAGUGUGAAUUCUGAAAUCCCCGCGACUGAUCACAGUGACUUCUCCUUCCACGUCUUCAGCUCUGUUUUCCCCUGGAACCUGUUGUCUGUCUAGCUCAGGAUCUCCGUGCUCACACCUCUCUGGCCUUGCUUGUUUCAGCCCAAGAAUCUCAGCCUCCUCCAAAAUAGACACAGUGGUCAGACACUGUCGUCGUGGAGCUCAGAGGUCAGUGGGGAAGAUGGAGUAUGAAUAAAGUGUUACAAUGCAACAAAUGUUGCCAACACCAUUCUACGUGAAUGAAGGUAUCUGGAGUGCUUGCACCCAGAGAAGGUUGUGAGAUCGUUGUCAUCACCCAGACGUGGUAGCAGACACCUGCACUCGCACUCAGAUGAAUCUGGGGCUGGCCUGGGGCCUCGAUGCAGACAUCUGGUUGCAGCCGAAAGACAUCGUCCCUCACAUUAAAUUAAAGAUGUUAACGUGAAAUUGA